UGAGUUUGGGCACCCUUGCUUUAGAUAAAAGCAUCUGCUAAAAAAGGGGAAAAAAUAAUACAGAAACAAACAUCAGCAGCAACAAAAAAUGCUAGACGUGAGAUGUUUAAACUAGACAUCAAAUCAGGAUUUUCCACACAGAAGACAGAAUAUUGAAACCUCUUUCUCUGCUCUCCCAUGUGUAUAGCGGCUGUGUGUGUCUGACGAAACAGGUCUCGACUCACAUGAACGCUUCACUAUAUGAGUGCUAAUAAGAACUAUGUCAGGAGGGACACCUGCCGUUUCAGAAAGCGAGAGGAACUGCGACUGACAGCCCAGUGACUGACAGAGCCCCAAAUACAGACCCUCGUUGUGACUGAACAGUGCAGGAGCAUCCAUAAAUCAGGAAAACCUGAGUGAGCCCUGGUUGGGGGGUCACCAAGAAAGGUUCACUUCCCUUUGGUUGUGUGGUGCUGAACAGCAGGACAGGCCUGGUUUUUCUCACCCUGCCUUCCCAUCUGACAACAAAUAAACAGCCAGAGGUCUUUAAUGUGCCAUACAGAUGACACCUCCAAUCUCUUCCUUCACAAAGAGUUCAGGAAGCUUUGGGUGUCAAGACAAAUAUUAUGGCAGUGGAGUUUCAUUUGGCGUGUGUCUGAGGCUUGAGUCUUUCCUUCUAACCUGUGCGUGAGCUAAAGGAAGAGUGUGGAAGUGAAAAACACAAGAGGAACCAUCUGUCCGGUGAACAGUUCUACAUAUGGUCAAACAUUGGUCUGUGUGGAACUGCGACUUUAAUGAAGAGUCAUGACUAGAAUACAGUUAACAAU